UACGUAGGGUGCGAGCGUUGUCCGGAAUUAUUGGGCGUAAAGAGCUCGUAGGCGGUUCGUCGCGUCGAAUGUGAAAACCCGGGGCUCAACUCCGGGCCUGCAUUCGAUACGGGCGGACUAGAGUUCGGUAGGGGAGACUGGAAUUCCUGGUGUAGCGGUGAAAUGCGCAGAUAUCAGGAGGAACACCGGUGGCGAAGGCGGGUCUCUGGGCCGAUACUGUCGCUGAGGAGCGAAAGCGUGGGGAGCGAACAGG
rnacentral:rRNA from 1 species